AGAACGAACGCUGGCGGCAUGCCUAAUACAUGCAAGUCGAACGAGACCUUCGGGUCUAGUGGCGCACGGGUGCGUAACGCGUGGGAAUCUACCCUUGGGUUCGGAAUAACAGUUGGAAACGACUGCUAAUACCGGAUGAUGACGAAAGUCCAAAGAUUUAUCGCCCAGGGAUGAGCCCGCGUAGGAUUAGCUAGUUGGUGAGGUAAAGGCUCACCAAGGCUACGAUCCUUAGCUGGUCUGAGAGGAUGAGUCAGCCACACUGGGACUGAGACACGGCCCAGACUCCGUACGGGAGGCAGCAGUAGGAUAGUUAGGACAAGUGGGGGACAACCCGUGGACUCCAGCAAUCGCCGCGUGAGUGAUAGGAAGGUCCGUUAGGGUUAGUAAACGUCCUUACGUUUAACCCGAGUACGUGGUAAUAA
rnacentral:rRNA from 1 species